rnacentral:rRNA from 1 species
GACGAACGCUGGCGGCGUGCCUAAUACAUGCAAGUCGAACGCAGUGGGGACGGGUGAGUAACAAGUGGGUAACCUCACCAUCAGAGGGGAUAACAUUUGGAAACAGGUGCUAAACCGAUACUAAUGGAUGGACCCUCGGUGCAUGAGCUAGUUGGUUAGGUAACGGCUCAACAAGGCCACGAUGCAUAGCCGACUUGAGAGGGUGAUCGGCCACACUGGGAUUGAGACACGGCCCAGACGCCGACGGCAGGCAUCAGUAGGGAAUCUUCGGCAAGGGACGAAAGUCUGACCGAGCAACGCCGCGUGAGUGAAGAAGGUUUUCGGAUCGUAAAACUCUGUUGUUAGAGAAGCGGUAUCUAACCAGAAAGCCACGGCUAACUACGUGCCAGCAGCCGCGGUAAUUC